rnacentral:rRNA from 1 species
AUUGAACGCUGGCGGCAGGCCUAACACAUGCAAGUCGAGCGGAGCGGCGGACGGGUGAGUAAUGCCUAGGAAUCUGCCUGGUAGUGUGGGAUAACGUCCGGAAACGGGCGCUAAUACCGCAUACUAUCAGAUGAGCCUAGGUCUGAUUAGCUAGUUGGUAGGGUAAAGGCCUACCAAGGCGACGCUCCGGAACUGGUCUGAGAGGAUGAUCAGUCACACUGGAACUGGGACACGGUACAGACUACUACGGGAGGAACAAGUGGGGAAUAUUGGAAAAGUGGCGAAAGCCUGAUCCAGCCAUGCCGCGUGUGGGAAGAAGGUCAUCGGAUUGUAAAGCACUUUAAGUUGGGAGGCGUUACCAACAGAAUAAGCACCGACUAACUUCGUGCCAGCAGCCGCGGUAAUUA